CCGAACUGAGACCGGCUUUUUGGGAUUCGCUCCACCUUACGGUAUCGCAGCCCUCUGUACCGGCCAUUGUAGCAUGCGUGAAGCCCAAGACAUAAGGGGCAUGAUGAUUUGACGUCAUCCCCACCUUCCUCCGAGUUGACCCCGGCAGUCUCCCAUGAGUCCCCGGCAUAACCCGCUGGCAACAUAGGACGAGGGUUGCGCUCGUUGCGGGACUUAACCCAACAUCUCACGACACGAGCUGACGACAACCAUGCACCACCUGUGUACGAGUGUCCAAAGAGAACCCCGUCUCGGGGGCUUUCUCGUACAUGUCAAGCCUUGGUAAGGUUCUUCGCGUUGCAUCGAAUUAAUCCGCAUGCUCCGCCGCUUGUGCGGGCCCCCGUCAAUUCCUUUGAGUUUUAGCCUUGCGGCCGUACUCCCCAGGCGGGGCACUUAAUGCGUUAGCUGCGGCACGGAACUCGUGGAAUGAGCCCCACACCUAGUGCCCAACGUUUACGGCAUGGACUACCAGGGUAUCUAAUCCUGUUCGCUCCCCAUGCUUUCGCUCCUCAGCGUCAGUUGCGGCCCAGAGACCUGCCUUCGCCAUCGGUGUUCCUCCUGAUAUCUGCGCAUUCCACCGCUACACCAGGAAUUCCAGUCUCCCCUACCGCACUCUAGUCUGCCCGUACCCGAUGCAAGCCCGAGGUUGAGCCUCGGGAUUUCACACCAGACGCGACAGACCGCCUACGAGCUCUUUACGCCCAAUAAUUCCGGACAACGCUUGCGCCCUACGUAUUACCGCGGCUGCUGGCACGUAGUUAGCCGGCGCUUCUUCUGCAGGUACCGUCACUUGCGCUUCUUCCCUGCUGAAAGAGGUUUACAACCCGAAGGCCGUCAUCCCUCACGCGGCGUCGCUGCAUCAGGCUUGCGCCCAUUGUGCAAUAUUCCCCACUGCUGCCUCCCGUAGGAGUCUGGGCCGUGUCUCAGUCCCAGUGUGGCCGGUCGCCCUCUCAGGCCGGCUACCCGUCGACGCCUUGGUAGGCCAUCACCCCACCAACAAGCUGAUAGGCCGCGAGCCCAUCCCCCACCGAAAAACUUUCCAACCCACACCAUGCGAUGCGAGCUCAUAUCCGGUAUUAGACCCCGUUUCCAGGGCUUAUCCCGAAGUGGAGGGCAGGUUGCUCACGUGUUACUCACCCGUUCGCCACUGAUCCACCCAGCAAGCUGGGCUUCACC
rnacentral:rRNA from 1 species